rnacentral:rRNA from 1 species
GAUGAACGCUGGCGGCGUGCCUAAUACAUGCAAGUCGAGCUAACAGACGAGGAGCUUGCUCCUCUGACGUUAGCGGCGGACGGGUGAGUAACACGUGGAUAACCUACCUAUAAGACUUGGAUAACUUCGGGAAACCGGAGCUAAUACCGGAUAAUAUAUUGAACCGCAUGGUUCAAUAGUUCAAGACGGUUUUGCUGUCACUUAUAGAUGGAUCCGCGCCGCAUUAGCUAGUUGGUAAGGUAACGGCUUACCAAGGCAACGAUGCGUAGCCGACCUGAGAGGGUGAUCGGCCACACUGGAACUGAGACACGGUCCAGACUCCUACGGGAGGCAGCAGUAGGGAAUCUUCCGCAAUGGGCGAAAGCCUGACGGAGCAACGCCGCGUGAGUGAUGAAGGUCUUCGGAUCGUAAAACUCUGUUAUUAGGGAAGAACAAAUGUGUAAGUAACUAUGCACGUCUUGACGGUACCUAAUCAGAAAGCCACGGCUAACUACGUG